rnacentral:rRNA from 1 species
CAGAAAGCCACGGCUAACUACGUGCCAGCAGCCGCGGUAAUACGUAGGUGGCAAGCGUUAUCCGGAAUUAUUGGGCGUAAAGCGCGCGUAGGCGGUUUUUUAAGUCUGAUGUGAAAGCCCACGGCUCAACCGUGGAGGGUCAUUGGAAACUGGAAAACUUGAGUGCAGAAGAGGAAAGUGGAAUUCCAUGUGUAGCGGUGAAAUGCGCAGAGAUAUGGAGGAACACCAGUGGCGAAGGCGACUUUCUGGUCUGUAACUGACGCUGAUGUGCGAAAGCGUGGGGAUCAAACAGGAUUAGAUACCCUGGUAGUCCACGCCGUAAACGAUGAGUGCUAAGUGUUAGGGGGUUUCCGCCCCUUAGUGCUGCAGCUAACGCAUUAAGCACUCCGCCUGGGGAGUACGACCGCAAGGUUGAAACUCAAAGGAAUUGACGGGGGCCCGCACAAGCGGUGGAGCAUGUGGUUUAAUUCGAAGCAACGCGAAGAACCUUACCAAAUCUUGACAUCCUCUGACCCCUCUAGAGAUAGAGUUUUCCCCUUCGGGGGACAGAGUGACAGGUGGUGCAUGGUUGUCGUCAGCUCGUGUCGUGAGAUGUUGGGUUAAGUCCCGCAACGAGCGCAACCCUUAAGCUUAGUUGCCAUCAUUAAGUUGGGCACUCUAAGUUGACUGCCGGUGACAAACCGGAGGAAGGUGGGGAUGACGUCAAAUCAUCAUGCCCCUUAU